UAGGGAAUCUUCUGCAAUGGACGAAAGUCUGACCGAGCAACGCCGCGUGAGUGAAGAAGGUUUUCGGAUCGUAAAACUCUGUUGUUAGAGAAGAACAAGGACGUUAGUAACUGAACGUCCCCUGACGGUAUCUAACCAGAAAGCCACGGCUAACUACGUGCCAGCAGCCGCGGUAAUACGUAGGUGGCAAGCGUUGUCCGGAUUUAUUGGGCGUAAAGCGAGCGCAGGCGGUUUCUUAAGUCUGAUGUGAAAACCCCCGGCUCAACCGGGGAGGGUCAUUGGAAACUGGGAGACUUGAGUGCAGAAGAGGAGAGUGGAAUUCAAUGUGUAGCGGUGAAAUGCGUAGAUAUAUGGAGGAACACCAGUGGCGAAGGCGGCUCUCUGGUCUGUAACUGACGCUGAGGCUCGAAAGCGUGGGGAGCAAACAGG
rnacentral:rRNA from 1 species